rnacentral:rRNA from 1 species
GGAAAAGUAGUAAAUAUGGGCAACCCGUGGAUGGCUGGCCUAUUGAUUCAGUGGGAGUUAAACGACUAAAAGUUUCGAAUAGAAACAACCCACAGAUAAAAAUCCAAGUUGAAAAGGAUCUGAACUGAUUCAUCUAAGUAGGAUCCCUAUUUAUCUUAUCAGAUAAAUAAAUAAAUCGGAAUGAGAAUCACCUCAGUAGUGGCGAACGAACAGGUUAUUGGUUAGCUAUACAACAUAGAAGGGAAUAAUCCAGAUCCUGUAUAGCAUAACAAGGUUAAAAGUAGAACCAAUAAAAAAGGUUUGAACAACGAGAAUUAUCUCGAAACCAAAAGAAGAAUCAAUAGGCGAGAGCGAAAAGUACCGUGAGGGAAAGCUGAGAAAGUAUCAUAAUAAAUGGUGAGUUCAAGGAAAGAGAUCCUGAAACGGGUUGUUGGCAGCGUAAGCUUUAGAAUGAAGCAAACGUUUACCUUUUGCAUAAGGGGCCUGCAACUUUAUUCUUUUAGUAAGCUCUCUAAAUGAGAAGCCUAGUGAAUGCGAAGUCUGAUAGACUGUUUGAUUAGAAGAAUAAGGCCCGAAACCAGAUGAUCUAGACGAGGCCAGGUUAAGAUAUCUUCUCCCAAAUCUCACUACGUUUGAUUUGGUCAGAGACAUUUAAAUGUCUCUGUAGGAUACGACCAAUAGUACAAAUUUGUACUAUUGGGGGCCCAUUCAGGUUCCCCUGAAUGGGCUUUCAGAAUCUAGUUUUACCCAAAGGUAAAACUAGAUGGGGCCCAUCCUGAAAAGGAUGGGCUUCUCAAGUUCCCUAAGAGGGAACUUGAGGUGAAUCUAAAUGGGCUAUCCCAGAUGGUGAACCAUCUGGGACGCCGUAUUCUAUUGAGGGUCGUUAGACCCGAAGACCAGCUGAACAUAGUGAAAGCUGGGAUGAAUUAGGGACCGAACAGGUGGCUGUUGCAAUAGCCUCUGAUGAGCUUCGUCUUGGAGUGAAAGACUAACCGUAUCUGGAGAUAGCUGGUCUACCACGAAAGCUAUUGAAGUAGCAUUACUGAUCAUAAUUCCUUUUAGGUGGAUUAAAAGUAUGCAGGACUGACUUAACUCCCAAUGAAAAGGAAAAUAGACAGUAGGACUGACUCUGGGGGAUAAGCUUCAGAGUCUAACAGGAAAGAGCCUAAUACUAAUGAUAAGGUCUCUAACAAAGGUUAAUUGGUAUUGAGGGAGUCUAAGGGUGUAGUUUACCACUGGGUGAGCAUGGAAGUCGCUAUCCCAAAGAGAACGUGUAACAACGCAAAGGUCGAAAUACAAAGUAGCCCCUGGCAUCAUUAAUUAACGAGCCUAAACCUUUGACCGAUUCAUAGUUUCCCAUUCCAUAAAGUUCACCUUGUGGGAUUUUUAGAUCUACAUAAGUGAACUUGAAUGGGGAGGUAGUGGUACAUGCCAUAAAUUGGCAGAGAGAAUGCAGGUGUGAGUAUGUAUAAAUGAAGUGAGAAAUCUUCAUGGUCUAAUAUCCAAGGUUUUCGAUGAGAAGUUCAGCUUCGUCGAGUUAAACGGUUCCAAACCUAUAUCUGUAUUAGGGAUGGAGAUAUCACUCGCUUGCGAGGAAAACCGUACUGAAAACCGACACUGGUGGAUAGAUCGAGUAGAUCAAGACUUAGGGAGAACCAUUCAGAAGGAACUCGGCAAAACCACUCCGUAACUUCGGGAAAAGGGGUACAACUUAUAAGAAAGAUACCUUACAAAUUCCUGUUUUACUACAGAAGUUUGUAUAGGACAUAAGGAUGUGUCACGAAAUCGGGAGGUAGGACUGUUUACUUAAAACUUCACUCUCUGCAAUCUGAAAAAGGUAGUAUAGGGAGUAACUUUUGCCCGGUGCCAAUACGUGAAAAUUGCUAGACAGGUGAACGAAAUGAGUCUAUCCUAAUCUCACAAGGAAUAGGAUUUGGUGAAUCUUUGAUUCCCCUCGUGUAGAAUAUAAACUUUGGUAAACGGCGGUCUUAACCAUAAGGAUCCAAAGGUAGCGAAAUUCCUCGGCUAUUAAUUGUAGUCCCGCACGAAUAAAGUAACUAUACCUCCACUGUCUCCUGAAUGGACCCUACGAAAUCACAUUGGUUGUGCAGAUGCAACCGUGUCCUAGAGUGACGGAAAGACCCUAUGCAGCUUUACUGUUAUUUAGCAAAAUUUUCUAAAAUGAUAUUGGAUAUCUUUUAGGACUAUUGCUUGAGAGACAGUUUGAUUGGGGUGAUCGCCUUCUAAAAAGUAACGAAGGUGUGCAAUGGUAGGCCUUACGUAUAAUGGCUUAUGCCUGCUUGACUGUAAGAAUUACAAUUCGAACAGAGAGGAUUUUAGAGAACCUAAUUUCACUCAGCCAUAGUGACCCGGUAGUUUAUGCUACCGAUCAACGAAUAAAAGUUACGCUAGGGAUAACAGCUUAGUCCUAAGUUAGAGUUCAAAUCGACCUUAGGGUUCGGGACCUCGAUGUCGACUCUUCCCAACCUGGUUGAGCAGGGGCUUCCAAGGGUGCAAUUGUUCAUUGCAUAAAGGGGAACGUGAGUUGGGUUAACAACGUCGUGAGACAGUUGGGUUCCUAUCUUCUAGGACAAUCAAUAGCAAAAGAUCCUUACCUUCGUACGAGAGGAUCAGGGAAGUAAAACCUCUAGUCAUCCAGUUCUUUUUAGUGCUGGGUAGCUACGUUUUGAAUAGAGAACCACUGAAACCAUCUUAAGUGGGAAACUUAUCUUUUCUAUUGGCGUGUCAGGUAGAACACCUGUAGAGACUUAAAUGUAAGCGCUGUGAAGCCUUUAGUUUUAUCUCUUGUAACACUGUAUACUACUUUUCC